AACGAACGCUGGCGGCAGGCUUAACACAUGCAAGUCGAACGCAUCCUUCGGGGUGAGUGGCAGACGGGUGAGUAACGCGUGGGAACGUGCCCUUCAGUUCGGGAUAACCCAGGGAAACUUGGGCUAAUACCGGAUACGUGCGAGAGCAGAAAGAUUUAUCGCUGAAGUGAUCGGCCCGCGUCUGAUUAGCUAGUUGGUGGGGUAAUGGCCCACCAAGGCGACGAUCAGUAGCUGGUCUGAGAGGAUGAGCAGCCACAUUGGGACUGAGACACGGCCAAAACUCCUGGGGGAGGGAGCAGUGGGGAAUAUGGGACAAGGGGGGCAAGCCGGACCCACCCAUGCCGCGGGAGUGAUGAAGGCUUUGGGUUUGUAAACCUCUUUCGCCAGGGAAGAUAAGGACGGUACCGGAAAAAGAGGCCACGCCAAACUACGGGCCAGCCGCCGCGGUAA
rnacentral:rRNA from 1 species